UCCCGUGUGACUCAAUUGGUAGAGCAUGGCGCUUGCAACGCCAGGGUUGUGGGUCCAAUUCCCACAAGGGAC
rnacentral:tRNA from 1 species